UGCCAGCCGCCGCGGUAAUACGGAGGGGGCUAGCGUUGUUCGGAAUUACUGGGCGUAAAGCGCACGUAGGCGGACUAUUAAGUCAGGGGUGAAAUCCCGGGGCUCAACCCCGGAACUGCCUCUGAUACUGGUAGUCUAGAGAUCGAGAGAGGCGAGUGGAAUUGCGAGUGUAGAGGUGAAAUUCGUAGAUAUUCGCAGGAACACCAGUGGCGAAGGCGGCUCGCUGGCUCGAUACUGACGCUGAGGCGCGAAAGCGUGGGGAGCAAACAGGAUUAGAUA
rnacentral:rRNA from 1 species